rnacentral:lncRNA from 1 species
GUUUGCUUUGAUAUAUAAAUUUUAUAUUCAUUUUCGCUGGUCGAACAUGCGUAUUAUUACUACAUGGGCCCUACAAUUUUAAAAUACUCGUCACGUCACACAACUUGUGUAUGGUCCUUUUUUUUUUUUUUUGUGAAGGAAAUAUCUUUUUUAUAAUUAGUGUUUAUUUAUUUUUGCUUUUCUGAUUUGUUUCUACCAUGUCGUGUGUUGUUACUACAUCAGCCCUACAAUUUUUAAAGCAUUUUUUUUUCUCGUCCGUCCUUUUUGAGUCUGGGUCAGACUUCAGUUUUGAGUUGUGUUAUUUGAAC